rnacentral:misc_RNA from 1 species
GUAGGUGAACCUGCGGAGGGAUCAUUACCGAGCGAGAAUUCUCUGAAUUCAACCUCCCACUCGUGUUUAUUGUACCUUGUUGCUUCGGCGGGCGCGGACCCGCCGAAGACACCUUGAACUCUGUAUGAAAAUUGCAGUCUAAGUCUAAAUAUAAAUUAUUUAAAACUUUGAACAACGGAUCUCUUGGUUCCG